rnacentral:rRNA from 1 species
GUGUCAGCCGCCGCGGUAAUACGUAGGUGGCAAGCGUUAUCCGGAUUUACUGGGUGUAAAGGGCGCGUAGGCGGGACUGCAAGUCAGAUGUGAAAUGUGAGGGCUUAACCCUCAAGCUGCAUUUGAAACUGUGGUUCUUGAGUAUCGGAGAGGCAGGCGGAAUUCCUAGUGUAGCGGUGAAAUGCGUAGAUAUUAGGAGGAACACCAGUGGCGAAGGCGGCCUGCUGGACGACAACUGACGCUGAGGCGCGAAAGCGUGGGGAGCAAACAGGAUUAGAUACCCGCGUAGUCC